rnacentral:rRNA from 1 species
UGGGGAAUUUUGCGCAAUGGGCGAAAGCCUGACGCAGCAACGCCGCGUGCGGGAUGAAGGCCCUCGGGUCGUAAACCGCUUUCAGCAGGGACGAAAUUGACGGUACCUGCAGAAGAAGCCCCGGCUAAAUACGUGCCAGCAGCCGCGGUAAUACGUAUGGGGCAAGCGUUAUCCGGAUUCAUUGGGCGUAAAGAGCGCGUAGGCGGAUUGUUAAGCGAGAUGUGAAAACCGGGGGCUCAACCCGCGGCCUGCAUCUCGAACUGGCAGUCUUGAGUCUGGUAGAGGAAAGUGGAAUUCCUAGUGUAGCGGUGAAAUGCGCAGAUAUUAGGAGGAACACCAGUGGCGAAGGCGGCUUUCUGGGCCACGACUGACGCUGAGGCGCGAAAGCUAGGGGAGCAAACAGG